AUGCAUUGGAGGUGUGUAAAGAGAUUUGGGAAUUCAUCAGCACACAAACUGAUUGAUGCCCCUCUCUCAAUACGACCUCCUGCAUGUUGUGAGGGUGAAACAGGGGAUGACUGUGAAUUUUUGGGAGAUUGUUUUAUCUCAAUUCGAACUCUGAAACGGACUGGGCUUAAUAAAGAAACGGGCCAAAUUAAAGGAGAUUAUGGGCUAGAGGGGGAAAAAGUAGGCCACAAAAGUAGAGAAAACUUUAGGCCUACAAGAAAAGGGGGUUAUAUACACCGAGUCCUGGCCUUGGGUGUUGAGACGACCCAAUUCCUACAGUCUAGGGUUUCCCACUUGUGGUGUUCGCUCCCCUCCGCCGCCACGAAUACCAGCAGCCCUCGAUUCCCGGAGAUGGCUGAUCGUUUCGAUCCAGGAAGAGGUGGCGGUGGAAGAGGUAUUGAGAGAGGAAGUAACUGGAGACUGGUGAUGAAUUAUGGAAGGGAUGCACAAUUUGAUAGACAAGAUUAG
rnacentral:rRNA from 1 species